AUACGUAGGUAGCGAGCGUUGUCCGGAAUGACUGGGCGUAAAGGGUGCGUAGGUGGCUGUACAAGUUGGUAGUGAAAUUCCGGGGCUCAACCUCGGCGCUACUACCAAAACUGUACAGCUUGAGUGCGGGAGAGGUAAGUGGAAUUCCUAGUGUAGCGGUGGAAUGCGUAGAUAUUAGGAGGAACACCAGUGGCGAAGGCGACUUACUGGACCGUAACUGACACUGAGGCACGAAAGCGUGGGGAGC
rnacentral:rRNA from 1 species